rnacentral:RNase_P_RNA from 1 species
UCUGUUCCUUGAGAUGAUCGCCCUACUAUUUAACUAGUAUGGGAGGAACGUCCGGACAUCACGGAACGCCAUGCGGGUAACACCCGUCACUGCGUCAUAUAUCAGGUAAAGGCGCAGUUAGGACUAGUGCCACAGUGACGAUGCCCCUUUACAGGGGAGUGAAACGCCACGCUUGCGUGGAUCGCAACUGCGAUCGGUAAACUCAUGGUGAUGCAAAGAGGAUUUGGGUUGGUAGAAAUUAAGCUGGUUCCGGCUUACUACUUUCCCCUCUGCAUUGUCCUUGGAAAUAUGCUUGCAUACUCCAAUUGCGAGGCUACGAGCAAUCGUAGUCCCAGAUAGAUGAUCAUCAUUCUCUUUAUUGAGAAAACAGAAUCCGGCGUACAAGGGAACAGAAUUA